CCUGGUCUACAGAAAGAGUUGCAGGACACUCAGGACUGUUACACAGAGAAAUCUGGUCUUGAAAUCCCCCCACCCCAAAAAUACACACAGGAACAAAAGAAACUCCUAGUAAACAAUGAUAAAGAAGAUACAAUAAAAUUGGACAGACAGUUUGUCUGUUAGUUAGGAUAAAUUAAACAGAGAUAAAGUAAUCGUAAAAAAAGAACUACCCGAAAGAUUUAUAAGGGAAAAAUUCAGCUGAUGUGGACGGAAAAAAAUUAAAAAGCAGGAAGAUGUCACAGCUGAAAUGACCAAGUAGGGAAAAACACUGACACAAAGACCGGCUACUGUAACAAUAAACAAAGGCUGAUUAAAGGGGGGGGGGGUUAAGGGUCUGGAGAGAUGGCUCAGUAGCUAAGAGUGCGGUUGCUCUUCCAGAGGAUGAGGUUUUAUUUCUAGUCUCCACAUGGUGGAUCGCAACCAUCUCUAGCUCCAGUUCCAACGUGUCUAACACCCUCUUCUGGCCUCCAAGGGCACCAGGCACACAAGUGGUGCAUAGACAUACAAGAAAGCAAAAUACCCAUACACAUAAAACUUUUAAAAAUAAAUUUUAAAAAAUAUAUAUGGAAACAUGGUCCUUCUAAGAAAACAUGCAUCUGCAUUACUUUUUUGUGUUUCAGAAGGAAAGAGGAUGGAUAUAACACCAUAGACAGGCAUAUCCAAGGGGCCUUAAUAGAUUUGGAUCAACAAAUCAUUGUGUAUCACAUUACAUCCACCUGGCAAAACUCUGAGACAAAGGAAAUUCUAAAAACACAAAGAAGGAAGUCUAAAGUUGCUUAUAAAUGAACACCUAUUACAGGAACUUUACAUACUAGCCAUUACAAUGAUUUCAAAUCCAGGCAUGGACACAUCCAAAUGAUAGAUCCAAUACCCCCAACAACUAAAGAUUUAAAUAAUCUCCACAGAAUAGAACAUGGAGCAGACGAGGACAUCGCUAUUACAAAAAUAUGAUUAUGUGAGAUUCAUACCAGAGACACAGCACGAAACACUCUGUACACACAGUUAAGAAUAAAACAAAGCAAAACCCAUGCAUACUUAGUACUCCAGAGACCAGGCUAGGAGGUGCCAGUCACCGGUCUGCUAUGCAGUUAGCAGGUAAAGAUCGGGAGAAGGAAGCAAGCUCACUGGAACACACUUCGUGCAGGUACUGAAGUGUCAUCUAUCUCUGCUGCUACUGAAAGGAUCUGAGAAGCUCUGCUCUGAACUGUGUUCCCCGCAAGAGGCUCUUCCUCAACAGAGGAUCCAUGUGAAAAGGCCAGAAAGACACCUCUGCCCUCCUGGAGCUAAAGCACCGUCUUUCCUCCUUGAGACUUUCCCUCCCCCAUGGCGUCAGAGGGCUGGGGAACUGAUAAGUACAUGCAGUAACCGGAUUUUCAACAAAGGUUUUAGAACUCACAUUCAGAAAGAAGCUGUCAUGAAUUUUUCAAACAUGGAUAUUUACAUGCUAUGAGAAGGGACUGGACCCCUUUCAUGCCAUAUACAGAAAUCAAAUAAAAAUGGAUCAUAGAAUCGUAAAACUCAGGAUAAUGAUGAAGAUACUCUUAAUUUAUGCCAAUCCAGCCACCACAGGUAAAGUCAGCAAAUGAGAUUACACCAGACUAAAUGUCAUGACUAGUACAUGCUUAGGAUGAGAAAAUACUAGCAAAUUAUUUAUUCAGCAAGCGAUCAUUUAAUUUCUAGACUAUAUAAGGAUAUCAUCCACUCAAUACAAAAGGAAAAGAUCUCAUUAAAUCUAGGCAAAUAGCCCAAAUUUAUAUUUCCCAAGCAUGACAUACAAAUAUGUUUAUAAGUAAAAAUGAAAGAUUUUCCCAAAAUGACUUGUUACUGAACUAUAUAUAGAAUGUACUUUUAAGGCCUGAAAUAAAAAAUGCUAAGAAACUUACACAAACAGGCAGUAGCAAUACAUAUUAGAGCAACCACUUGAAAAUUCAGUGUGAUGGACCCAGAAUGACAUCAACACUGCCCCACUGUUGGCUGUAUACAGUCAAAGGAAGUGACACUGGUGUCCCAGGGAAGUCUGCACAUAAGUGUUCUUCAACAAAGGAGCAUAAGUAGAGAAAUGGGGCAAAUAUAAAUUUACAAUAACAGAACAUUGUGUCAUAGUGACAGGCAUUCGGGGAAUUGUUAAUUCUGUAGUAUGGUUAGUAUUCUGGGCUUGAAAUGAUUGGCACCGUCUUCCAACACAGGAUGGUCUUGGCACAAAGUCAUGGCAAUAGAAUGAAGAAAAUUACACAGCAGAUCUCUAGGGCUCUGGAUGGUAACAGGACUGGCAACAUUCCCUUACAAGACUAUCAUGGAUUUCUCUGCUGAGAUUCCAACCCAGGCACUUUUGCCCAAUUGAAGACUGGUAAACUGAAAGUUACAAUAUGAAGAUGAAAUAUGUCAGGCACAAAAUGAAAUCUUCUAUGCUCUCAUCAUACUUGCAAACCAAAGGUGGCCUCAAUCAGAGAGUAAAACAACAGCUCUACCACUGUGAGGGAAAGAUACAGAAAUAGAGAGAUGGAAAAAAGAAGAAAUUUAUUAAAUCCAGGUUUGAAGACAAGCUGAGCCUAGGAAACAAUCUGUGUUUGCUGUGGAGGAUGAGAGCGGGAGAGGUGAUACAGCCAUGGCCCACUGGAGCACAGAGGAUGGACACCCAGCGUCCUCGCUACAGUUCUCAAGGGAGCAGCAUGUCAAUGGGAAACAGAAGUGGCAUUAGAGCCGCUUGAUCAAGAUGAACCUGAUGAGAGAUCACAUGAUGGUUUGUUUGAAGACAGUGACUGCCAGUCCUACUAUCCUUACACCUGACUGGACAUUCCUCACCUUUGUGCUGGAUCGGGUUUCGGUCCUCACCCCCUCAGACUCUGAGUAACAGCAGAUGGCACAAACCCAUGGGGGAAUGAAGCAGGAAAGACAAGUUCCUGUCAGCAGGUAUUCUAAGGCAGAGCUCCCAGCUCAGGGCAGUCUGCGGCUAUCACUGUGACCCAGUUAGGGGCUGGCCUCGAAGGACUAGCCUUUCUUUAUGCCUUCCUGUUCUGAAACUACAGGCUCCUGAGCACAGCACCUCCUUAGCCAGGCUCACCUUGAAACAGAACAAACUGCCAUUCUGAGAUACGAAUGUAUGCAAACAUUUACUAUUUCACAACCUCUGGAAAAAUCCCCUGUUCUUCCAAGGGCAAUCCUCCUUUCCCAUAGUCAAGUGAAUAUUGAGAUUUUUUAAGUCAUUUUUUUUGUUUGAUUGUACAACUACCCAUUUGCCCCUCCAGCUUUGCUACUUAGGAGAGUGUGCACUUCUGUAGUUAGCAAACAUCAAUGAGUCCUGCAGGCAAGCCAGACUCCGGGAUGGGGUAUUCUAUGAAGAACGGGCUUAUUCCAUAUGAAACUUAACUCAUCUAAGAGCUCAAUUCAAGUUAAUUCCUUUUUCCUCCCCAACAACCAGUGACUGUGGUGUUAAUUCCAAUGUAACAGUUACAAUAGAUCAGUCACAAAGAACCCUGUUAGGGUGAAGGCCACAGUGACCAGUCCCCCAGGGUAACCUCAAGCCUUUUCUUAGUAUUAUGCACAUGGCUUGUCUCAGUAUGUUUUCAGGCACAUUUACCGCACAGUAUUAAAAGCUGUAUUCUUGCUGGGCGUUGGUGGCGCACACCUCUAAUCCCAGCACUCAGGAGGCAGAGGCAGGUGGAUCUCUGUGAGUUGGAGAACAGCCUAGUAAACAGAGAGUUCCAGGAAGGCCUCCAAAGCAAUACAGAGAAACCUUGUCUCUAAAAUAAAUAAAUAAUUAAGUAUUCUUGCUUUUGCCAAACUUCCACAGCAUUCCUAGAAAUACUUUAUAAUUUUGUCUCUAUUCUCUGCCAAGGGUCCAGCUUUACACAUACUAUCAAAGAAUAGUCUUAAUGGUUGUACAAGCAAAACUGACGACAGACCUAAAUGAGUUUUAAGAUUGAGGAUGAACUGACAGCAGCUAUCACGGGACCUGGACUUCUGUUCACGGGUUUCAAUGUUAUUCAGUGAUGUGAGAAAUUUCUCUAUACUGGAUUCUUUUCUGGUGGUUCCGGUUUUGACACAGAUUCUCACUUUGUAGUUCCAACUGGCCUGGAACUCAGAGAUGCUCCUGCCUUUGCCUUCCAAAUGCAGAGAUCAUAGACACAUGCUACCAUGGUACCUGCACUGAAUUCUAUGAAGCUGACAGUUAUAUCAUUGGCAUUAAUAUGAAUUCUCAUCAAUAAAGUUAACCUAAACCCACACAAAUAUACUCAAUGA